UACAGAGGGGGCAAGCGUUAUUCGGAAUUAUUGGGCGUAAAGAGCGCGCAGGCGGUCGUUCAAGUCGCGUGUGAAAGCCCCCGGCUCAACUGGGGAGGGUCACGCGAUACUGAUCGACUCGAAGGCAGGAGAGGGUAGUGGAAUUCCCGGUGUAGUGGUGAAAUGCGUAGAUAUCGGGAGGAACUCCAGUGGCGAAGGCGACUACCUGGCCUGUUUCUUGACGCUGAGGCGCGAAAGCUAGGGGAGCAAACGGG
rnacentral:rRNA from 1 species